CGCUAGCGACAGGCCUAACACAUGCAAGUCGAGGGCAGCGGAUUGAAGCUUGCUUUAAUGCCGGCGACCGGCGCGACGGGUGCGUAACAGGUGUGCAAUCUGUCCAUAGGUCGGGGAAUAGCCCAGCGAAAGUUUGGAUUUAAUGCUCCAUGUGAAUCGAGACCGCAUGAUCUUGAUUUGAAACGUAAGGACUAUGGGUGAGCACGCUUCUGAUUAGAUAGUUGGUGAGGUAACGGCUCACCAAGUCGACGAUCAGUAGGGGUUCUGAGAGGAAGGUCCCCCACAUUGGAACUGAGACACGGUCCAAACUCCUACGGGAGGCAGCAGUGAGGAAUAUUGGUCAAUGGGCGAGAGCCUGAACCAGCCAAGUCGCGUGAAAGGAUGAAGGUUCUAUGGAUUGUAAACUUCUUUUGUCCGAGGGUAAAAAAGGCUACGUGUAGCUUCUUGCAAGUAUCGGACGAAUAAGCAUCGGCUAACUCCGUGCCAGCAGCGGC
rnacentral:rRNA from 1 species